AUGGGAAUAUACAUGGUAGGCAGUAAUGGUGACAUCUGUAAAAAGAGGCCGGAGGGGAGAAUUAGACAUGGACGUCCACUCAUAGCAUCAAGCCAACCUGAUGAAGCUCCAGGGCUGGUGCCUCCAACAAGGAGACUAAGAGAUUACGUCAAUCCCAUUAUUAAUGCCUCAGCCCAUGCAGUACCAACAGAAGGGUUGAAUAAUCCAGAAUUGGUGGCUCCGACAAGGAGCUUAAGAGAUGAGGAGGAUCCCAGGCUUGAUGCCUCACGGGAAGCAGUACCAGCAGGGGGGGUUGAGGAGUCCAUCCAAACUGAUCAACAUGAAGUAAAUGAGGGGGAUAACACCACAGUUCAAGCCAUAAAAAAACGAGGCCGCGGCCCAGCUAAGGGUACAACAUUUGACAGGUUACGAAAGAUUGGUAAGAUACCUUUAAUUAUAAAGGAUGGGCAUAGAGGCCCAUCAUGUGAAAAUGCGACAAUAUUCACCAGUCGGGUGAGCUGGAUUAUAAGAGUACAUGCGGAUAUGAGACAUGCAAGUUGGCGUGAGGUAGCUGACAAGGAGAAGCACGAGCUCAUCAAUCGUGUUAAAGCUGAUUUCGUGUUGGAUUGGAGUAGAGACAACCAUCGCGAAGCUGUAGUCAACACACUAGCUGAUAGGUACAACGCUUACCACUAUGAAUUACACAAGCACUACAAGAAAUUUGCUUCGCAUGAGGAGGCAUUAGCUGGUCGGAAGGAAUGGGUGGAGCCACAUGUAUGGGAGUGGCUAUGUCAAAUGUGGGCCAGCCCCAAAUUCAAGGAGCAGUCUUGUAGGAACAGCAAUAAUAGGAAAAAGCAGAAGGUUAGACAUACAAGUGGGCGAAAAUCUUUCGUUAGGCUGAUGGAAGAGAGGGGUGAGGAGCCAAGGAACAUGAUUGAAUUUUACAAAGAAACACACUGGUCAAAUAAGAAGGGCAAAUUCAUCAAUGUAGCAAGUGAACACAACUAUAAUCUGAUGCUAGAGAGGUUGAAUGAGAAAGAAACUGAAGAGGAUGUUGAGGAGAUUGCAGGUGAUGUGUUCAAGGAGGUGUUGGGGUUCAAAUCUGGCUAUGCAGUUGGCCUGGGGCACUCAGUCAUACCUGAGCCCUCCCCGUUCUUGAGAAAUAACAAGGCAUUUAAACGUAUGGCUGAAGAGAAUGAAAGGAACAAGGAAUGUGCAGACUUGUAUAAGAGUAAACUAGAAGCAAUUAUGGGUGAUAUGGCUGAGCUGCGCAAACAGUUUUCUGAGCAUGACAAACAAAUCAUGGCCAUGUCAUCACAGUUGGGGUCAAGUAGGGAGUCUCAAGAAGAGACUCAACGAGAUGCAUAACAUCUCAAAAAAAUAUUAAAAUUUUUUGAAGAAGGUCAUGGGUCUUUUUGUGUUUUUUGUUCCCCCUAUUGGAAAUGGAAACUUACACAAAAAGUGAAAAGUAGUGAUGCACUAGGUGUGGUGGGCAGGUUAUUAGGUCAUGUUUUUUUGAAAAAGGGUUUUGGGUUGUAGGAUGUAAGUGGCGCCAGACUUUGUUUUGGGAAUAUUAUAACCGGGUAUAAUAUCAGUCAAGUGGUUGCAAUUUCUGUUUGGUGGUCAAAGAGGAUUUGGAAAUCUGUUGCAGCUUUUGAGGAAAAAUUCAGAUUGCAUUUUACUGGAUCUGCAGUCAUGGGUGUUAGAGCAGGGUGCAUAUACUUAUGAUGGCACCAGUUUAAAUCAUGCACAGAAGGCAUUUCAGAGGUUUAUCAGAAAGGCAACCAUGCUGAUCCUGUGAACAGAAUAACUGAUAGGGACUAGUUCCACACACUGUGAUGGUCUUCUUCAUGCAGACAGUGGGAAAUUUCUGACAUGGAGAGGCAGUAGGGAUAAGCUGGUGUUGCAUUUCAACUGGUGAGAUCAACCACGAUAAUCUGACAAAUGAAGGAAAUUGAGAUAUCUGAUUACUUUAAUUUGGAGGAAGUUGAAGAAGAAAGUGUAUGCAUGUAGAACAGGAAUUGAUAGCUGGUUGUGUAAAUGUAUGUAGUUGUAAUCAUGCUGAUGACCCUCUUCUCCUUCCCACUACAGUUGACAUUAAUGUAUAAUUUCCAUUUCCAUCAAUGAAUAUGGGAACUAAGGCCUGAAUGUUGUCAAUAUAUA